GAUGAACGCUAGCGGCAGGCUUAAUACAUGCAAGUCGUGGGGCAGCAGGUUUGUAGCAAUACAGAUGCUGGCGACCGGCAAACGGGUGCGGAACACGUACACAACCUUCCUUUACGUGGGGAAUAGCCCAGAGAAAUUUGGAUUAAUACCCCGUAACAUUAUGAUGUGGCAUCACAUUAUAAUUAUAGCUACGGCGCUUAAUGAUGGGUGUGCGGCUGAUUAGGUAGUUGGCGGGGUAACGGCCCACCAAGCCUGCGAUCAGUAACUGGUGUGAGAGCACGACCAGUCACACGGGCACUGAGACACGGGCCCGACUCCUACGGGAGGCAGCAGUAAGGAAUAUUGGGCAAUGGAGGAAACUCUGACCCAGCCAUGCCGCGUGGAGGAUGAAGGUCCUCUGGAUUGUAAACUUCUUUUAUAUGGGACGAAAAAGGGUCUUUCUAGGUCAACUGACGGUACCAUAUGAAUAAGCACCGGCUAACUCCGUGCCAGCAGCCGCCGUAACAC
rnacentral:rRNA from 1 species